rnacentral:rRNA from 1 species
CGAACGCUGGCGGCGUGCUUAACACAUGCAAGUCGAACGGAAAGGCCCUGCUUUUGUGGGGUGCUCGAGUGGCGAACGGGUGAGUAACACGUGAGUAACCUGCCCUUGACUUUGGGAUAACUUCAGGAAACUGGGGCUAAUACCGGAUAGGAGCUCCUGCUGCAUGGUGGGGGUUGGAAAGUUUCGGCGGUUGGGGAUGGACUCGCGGCUUAUCAGCUUGUUGGUGGGGUAGUGGCUUACCAAGGCUUUGACGGGUAGCCGGCCUGAGAGGGUGACCGGCCACAUUGGGACUGGGCUGCGGCCCAGACUCCUACGGGAGGCAGCAGUGGGGAAUAUUGCACAAUGGGCGGAAGCCUGAUGCAGCAACGCCGCGUGCGGGAUGACGGCCUUCGGGUUGUAAACCGCUUUCGCCUGUGACGAAGCGUGAGUGACGGUAAUGGGUAAAGAAGCACCGGCUAACUACGUG